UACGUAGGGGGCCAGCGUUGCUCGGAAUUACUGGGCGUAAAGGGUUCGUAGGUGGUGCGGCAAGUUGGGAGUGAAAUCUCUGGGCUUAACUCAGAGGCUGCUUUCAAAACUGCCGCGCUCGAGUGCGAGAGAGGUCAGUGGAAUUGCAGGUGUAGCGGUGAAAUGCGUAGAUAUCGUAAGGAAGACCAGUGGCGAAGGCGAAUCUCUGGACAGUUACUGACACUGAGGCACGAAGGCCAGGGGAGCAAACGGG
rnacentral:rRNA from 1 species